rnacentral:rRNA from 1 species
UACGUAGGGUGCAAGCGUUGUCCGGAAUUAUUGGGCGUAAAGCGCGCGCAGGCGGUUCCUUAAGUCUGGUGUUUAAGUGCGGGGCUCAACCCCGUGACGCACUGGAAACUGGGGAACUUGAGUGCAGAAGAGGAGAGCGGAAUUCCACGUGUAGCGGUGAAAUGCGUAGAGAUGUGGAGGAACACCAGUGGCGAAGGCGGCUCUCUGGACUGUAACUGACGCUGAGGCGCGAAAGCGUGGGGAGCAAACAGG